UUACACCUGAGAGAUAUCCGUUCACGCCGGACCGUCUUGA
rnacentral:tRNA from 1 species